rnacentral:misc_RNA from 1 species
AAGACUAUAGACCUGCGGAGUACCUGCGGAGGAUCAUUAUCGUAUUGUAACAAUUGGGGGGGCCACCGUGGGCUGUCGCUGACCCUUUGAAAGGGGGGUCGUGCACGCCCCCAUAGUGUCAUCCUCAUACAAUCCAACUCACCUCUGUGCAUCACCGCGUGGGUUCCUUUCUGGGUCGAGUCAGACUGGCUCAGAAAAAAGGGGCUUGCGUUUUCCAUACAAAUACCCUUAUAAAUCCAG